rnacentral:lncRNA from 1 species
GGGGAUAACAGGGGAAUAGAAUGGUGGUCUAUAGCUGUUGAGGUUCUCCCUAAAUAGUAUGGAAAUAAUUUUAUUGAGAAUUUUAGAUAAGUGUGUCGUAUUGUAUACGUCAUUUGAUAUUUAAUUUUGGUGAACCGAAUAGGGUGAGGUGAACCCAACUUUGGAAGGGUGUUUUGCCACUAUCAUACAAGAUGUCUAAUGACAUAAAAUCUCGUGUUAUCAUAAGACAGGAUUGUGCACAUCAACUUGCUGAGUAUAUCUACGAGCACUACUUAUAUGAUCUUGGAGUUUGGUUGAAAUAUAAUUUUCAAUUGCAGACAG